UUGCUAUGAUGACAGUCUUAGGACACCUUUGGAAUUUACCAUGAAAACACCUCUAACUCUGAGCAAC